rnacentral:rRNA from 1 species
GUCCACGCCGUAAACGAUGGGCACUAGGUGCUUGGGGGAGCGACCCUCUGAGUGCCGUCGCUAACGCAGUAAGUGCCCCGCCUGGGGAGUACGGCCGCAAGGCUGAAACUCAAAGGAAUUGACGGGGGCCCGCACAAGCGGUGGAGCAUGUGGUUCAAUUCGACGCAACGCGAAGAACCUUACCUGCGCUUGACAUGUACGUGUAAGCCUCCAGAGACGGGGGCCCCUCUUCGGAGCACGUACACAGAUGCUGCAUGGCUGUCGU